UACGUAGGUGGCAAGCGUUGUCCGGAUUUACUGGGCGUAAAGAGCGCGCAGGCGGUCGUAUAAGUCGAAUGUGAAAGCCCCCGGCUCAACUGGGGAGGGUCAUUCGAUACUGUUCGACUCGAAGGCAGGAGAGGGAAGUGGAAUUCCGGGUGUAGUGGUGAAAUGCGUAGAUAUGCGGAGGAACACCGAUGGCGAAGGCAGUCCCCUGGGCCUGUACUGACGCUCAUGCACGAAAGCGUGGGGAGCAAACAGG
rnacentral:rRNA from 1 species